UCCCUAGUAGCUCAGGUGGUAAAGAAUCCGCCUGCAAAGCGGGAGACCUGGGUUUGAUCCCUGGGUUGGGAA
rfam:TPA: Bos taurus chromosome 26, whole genome shotgun sequence.